AUUGAACGCUGGCGGCAGGCUUAACACAUGCAAGUCGAGCGGAGUGAUGGUGCUUGCACUAUCACUUAGCGGCGGACGGGUGAGUAAUGCUUAGGAAUCUGCCUAUUAGUGGGGGACAACAUCUCGAAAGGGAUGCUAAUACCGCAUACGUCCUACGGGAGAAAGCAGGGGAUCACUUGUGACCUUGCGCUAAUAGAUGAGCCUAAGUCGGAUUAGCUAGUUGGUGGGGUAAAGGCCUACCAAGGCGACGAUCUGUAGCGGGUCUGAGAGGAUGAUCCGCCACAGUGGGGCUGAGACACGGCCCAGACUCCUACGGGAGGCAGCAGUGGGGAAUAUUGGAAAAUGGGGGGAACCCUGAUCCAGCCAUGCCGCGUGUGUGAAGAAGGCCUUAUGGUUGUAAAGCACUUUAAGCGAGGAGGAGGCUCUUUUGGUUAAUACCCAAGAUGAGUGGACGUUACUCGCAGAAUAAGCACCGGCUAACUCUGUGCCAGCAGCCGCCGCAG
rnacentral:rRNA from 1 species